UCUUCCAAAAUUUGCCAGCCCCCCUGCGAAUUUUUCAUGUUAUCUUUUUGAGCAAAUUGAUUUUUCAUUUUCACUUUGUAGGCCUAUUUUUUUUUAAAUUUGGUUCAUCUGUGAUAUGAAAUUGUGUCUUUCUUAACUUUAGGUAAAGUCUGUUUUUCUGGAGCAAUGUUAUUGCUUCUGUCUCAUAGAAAUAAAGUAUGAUUUUAAAAUUCAGGACUUAAAAAGUAAAGAUAUUUGCAUGUCACAUGUCAUUUCUUUGUGCAAGAUCCAGGCCCUGAUUGCUCCCUCCUUCCAGGCAGAUCUUAGAGGAUGUUGACAGCAUUUUCAGCUGCAUGCUGGUAAAUAUUGGGUUAGUGCCUGGAAUCAACAUAGUGGAGACUGAUCAGAGAAUUUCAACUGAAUGCCUCUGUAGCAGAGGACACAGCUAGUAAAAAACAGCAGUCCAGAGAGGGAUGGUCUUCAAAUUUGAAAAAGCAAAUUAAGUAAAAUAUUCUUUUUGCUGUUUGUGUUCCUCUGUGUUGCAGAUAGAAGAUUAUGGAACCUUUUCAUUUUAGUGAUGAAAAACAAGAUGAAUUCAUAUGUAACUGGUAGGAUGCCAAAGCCAGAGAUGACAGCACUCCUGAGGGAAUGAGGGGCAGUAAGGAAGAUAAAAGGCCUGCCCUUUUUCGCAGUAGGCUGACAAUCAUGAUAUUGCUUAGUGACAUUUUGUGAUGGGAACAAAAAGGCAACUAGGCGAUGAGGCCAGCAAACUCAUUUCACUUGUAUCCAGUGGAAGCCUCCAGAGGGAAAAGCCAGUGCAUGGCCUGGUGCAUUGCAUGAAGAAGGACAAGAGGAGUCUACAAUCUCUUCAAAGUUCUCCUUCCGGCAUCAGUUCUCUCCUAGGAAGAGAUUGCUAGUGCAGUUUUGAAUAUGUCAGAGGUAGUUUCUUCAUCUUUGGUGUUACCAGCACAUCUGAAAAGUCCAAUAGCUCAAUAUGUAUAGAAGGUAUCUGGGAAGGGAAUUGUUGGCCUUUUGGUGACCUCUGGCACCUGAAACUCUGCUGAUUUAGUAGUUUCCCACAAAAGUGCAAUUUGUGCUGCAGUGUGGUAUAAGCCAGUAAACCCGUCAAGUGUCUUGAACAUUUCAGCUGAAUGGAUUGACAGCCAUAAAACGAACACUGGAAUAUACACUCAGAUCUCUCUUUCUACAUUAAAACACUGCAUUUAGCUGCAAGGAGCCUUUUCCAGACUCCAUAUAAUUUAUCAUAAAACCAGCCUCAUAUUCUGCUUUGGAAGUGAGGAACAUAUAUUAAUUAAUUGCUAUGCAGAUCUCAUGUUCCAUUUAUAGCCCAUAGGAUUUUAGGAUUUAGUAAUGGGUGAAAACUGGGCAUUUGUGUUCACCUCCACACCCUCCAUGUAACAUUCAAAAUUAGUCAGAUUUAUUCCUCCAGGGAUUUACUGUCUUACACCAUGCUCCAGCACAAACUGCCCCGCUCUGAUUAGAAAAACUCUUCUACUCCAUAGGAGUAUUAUCUGAGCAUUAUUGCAGUGUAUUUUGUUUCCACUUGAUAAAUUACCUACACAUUAGGUGUUCCAUACAGUAGGUCCUGUAAUUCUUGUUAUAUUUAAGGCACUUUGUGAUACAUGGGAGAUAAUUAACUUGCACCAUUUUUAGUGCAAAAAUAUAUGUUGAUCUAGGUCACAUGACAAAUGUAACCAUUCAGAGUUUAAAAUACUAUUAUUUAAAAUUUAUUUUCUUCUCAAAAUGGUUUAUGAAAUUAUCAUAAUUUGAAUAAUUCACAGCAUAGUUAGACUAUAUUAUAUCAUAGAAUCAUAGAACUUAAGAUCAGAAGGGACCAUUAUGAUCAUCUAGUCUGACCUCCCGCAAAAUGCAGGCCACAAAA